AUUUCUCUAGGAUGUUUACUUGGGAGUAGAAUUACAAGGCCGUAGGCUCGUGUGCUCCUUCACCUCCUGUCCUUUCGAAGCCACGUGUGCUCCCCGAAGCCCUGGACCAGAGCAUUGGUUGCUUGGUGUCUUCACCAAUCCUUGAUAUCAUCCACUUUCUUCAUUUUCGUCGGUCUGAUGUGACUCCCUGCCCCGCCCUGGACACUCCGAGCCAUGGCCGACACCAUCUUCGGCAGUGGGAAUGACCAGUGGGUUUGCCCCAAUGAUCGGCAGCUCGCCCUGCGAGCCAAGCUGCAGACGGGCUGGUCUGUGCACACCUACCAGACAGAGAAGCAGAGGAAGAGCCAGUGCCUCAGCCCUGCUGAGGUGGAGGCCAUCUUGCAGGUCAUCCAGAGGGCAGAGCGGCUGGACGUCAUGGAGCAGCAGAGAAUCGGACGGCUGGUGGAGCGGCUGGAGACCAUGAGGCGGAACGUGAUGGGGAAUGGCCUUUCCCAGUGUCUGCUCUGUGGGGAGGUGCUAGGCUUCUUGGGCAGCUCAUCAGUGUUCUGCAAAGACUGCAGGAAGAAAGUCUGCACGAAAUGUGGGAUCGAGGCCUCCCCUGGCCAGAAGAGGCCUCUUUGGCUGUGUAAGAUCUGCAGCGAGCAGAGAGAGGUCUGGAAGAGGUCGGGGGCCUGGUUCUACAAAGGGCUCCCCAAGUACAUCCUGCCGCUGAAGACCCCCGGCCGGGCCGAUGACCCCCACUUCCGACCUCUGCCCAUGGAGCCCACCGAGCAAAAGCCCAGAAGCACUGAGACUAGUCGUGUCUACACGUGGGCCCGAGGGAGAGUGGUUUCCAGUGACAGUGACAGUGACUCAGAUCUCAGCACCUCUAGCCUGGAGGACAGACUUCUUCUGACAGGGGUCAGGGAGCCCACAGGUGCCAAGCCCUUCGGAGAAGCAGAGCGGGACAUAGAGGAGACCCAGAUGGAUCGGCAGGGGCGAAGGGAGGAUGGCAGAUCUAGCACACCUGCCUGCACACCUGGAUCCCCGCUAGGCUCCCAGCGAGCAUCCCCAGGGUGGCAGCAUGGAGUCCCCCAAGAUGGGGCCCCCCCGCCGGCCCAGCCCCCUCUCCGGGAGCCAGAGCAGUCUGGCCAGUGAAACUGGGACCAGCUCUGCAGACCCGCAGGGCACCUCACCCUGGCCAGACCCGAAGAGCCCCGGCAAAAGGCCUGCCUGGGCAAUUCCCCGUUGCUGACACGACGACCUCCGAAGGGCCCGCCUGCCUGCUCCAGCAGAGACAUGUUUGGUGCACGGAGCCGACUUUGCAGUGGAGGAGUUCGAGAGAGAAAGCGAGCUGGGAGGGUCUGGUGAGCAGUCUGGAGCCCUCAGCUGGACAGCCCUGUUGGACGUGACCUCCGACUCAACCAACCAGUGUUUGGGGGCUGAGUCUCCUAACCCCCACUCAGUGCCUUUCUGCCCCCUUCUUCCCUGGGAGCCCUCCUCCCUCCCCCCCCCCCCGACAGCCACCCCACUCAGCCCUGACCUUUAUUUAUUGCCCUUCCCUUGCACCCUCCCCCAGUCUACCUCCAUAUUCAUUUUAAGUUUGGUCUUGUCUUGGGGUGGGCCGGAAGGGCCUGCAGACCGGCCUUAUGGGGCCCUCCCAUAUGCACUGCAGCAGGCACUGGGCUGGGCUUUCUCCUAUUAAUGGAAGAAGAACCCAUUACCCUUCAAAACUGAGCUUGGACCCUAGAGAUGAGCAGUGGGUCCUAGAGGGUGCUGGGUGAGAGGCUUGCCCACCCUUCCGCCUCCCGAGGACUCUGGGAGCAGAAGCAGCACCCUCCUUGGCUCAAGAUUGGCUCAGGUGCUGCUGUCGAAUGCUGGCCCUUGCUUGGGUUUCUGGGGACUCCUCUGACAGCCUCCCCAGGUUCUGCUCAGCCUCUCUCCAGCUCGUGGACCAAGGAAGGGCUCUGGGGGAUACGGUGAAUUCCCUCAUUGAAGAGCAGUCUUCAGCUGCGUCCCCAGCUGGGGGACAAGUCUCCCCUAAGCCUUUAAAAUUCACUCCUCUUCAGUGGCUUCGGUUGGGCAUGAAAAAUAAUUUAGACGGUGAGCAAAUGCUUCUGAAAAACCCUUCCCUGAAGACAGAGCUUGAGAGAGAGAGAGAGAGAGAGAGAGUGUGUGUGUGUGUGUGUGUUGGUAUCCCCAUCUCUCCAUCCGGCCACUCUCCCACUGCCCCGUACUCCUGUUCCUCGAAGGGCCUUCUCUCCGGGCUCUCAGGCCCCCACCGUUAGCUUUUUUGCCCUUGCCGCUGGCAGGUGGUAAAAAGACAUACUGUUUCUCUGUGACAAGUUAUGCUUCAAAAUCUGUAACAAUAAAGAUUAGAAUUUGCAUUGA